GGUUACCGAUCCUCCGAUGAGGAUGGCUUUUACCUCAUUGUAAGGAGCUGGGAGAAUAAAGGGGGGGUAAGACUGGUGUCAGCCGCCGCGGUAAUACCAGCCCCCUGAGUGAUAGGGACGAUUAUUUAGCCUAAAGCGUCCGUAGCCGGCUUAGUAAGUCCUUCGUUAAAUCUGGCGGCUUAACCGUUAGACCGCGGAAGGAUACUGCUAGGCUAGAGGGCGGGAGAGGUUGACGGUAUUCCUGGGGUAGGGGUGAAAUCCUAUAAUCCCGGGAGGACCACCAGUGGCGAAGGCGGUCAACUAGAACGCGCCUGACGGUGAGGGACGAAAGCUGGGGGAGCGAACCGGAUUAGACACCCGGGUAGUCCCAGCCGUAAACGAUGCGGGCUAGGUGUUGGGGCAGCUACGAGCUGCUCCAGUGCCGCAGAGAAGUUGUUAAGCCCGCCGCUUGGGAAGUACGGCCGCAAGGCUGAAACUUAAAGGAAUUGGCGGGGGAGCACCACAAGGGGUGAAGCCUGCGGUUUAAUUGGAGUCAACGCCGGGAAACUUACCAGGGGCUGACAGCAGAGUGAAGGCCAGAUUAAAGAUCUUGCCAGACAAGCUGAGAGGUGGCGCAUGGCCGUCGACAGUUCGUGCCGUGAGGUGUCCUGUUAAGUCAGGCAACGAACGAGACCCUCACCCUUAGUUGCCAACGGGUUCCGUUGGAAUGCCGGGCACACUAAUGGGACUGCCGCCGAUAAGGCGGAGGAAGGAGUGGGCCACGGCAGGUCAGUAUGCCCCGGAUGCCUGGGCUACACGCGGGCUGCAAUGGUAGGGACAGAGGGUUCUGACCUCGAAAGGGGAAAGUAAUCCCUAAACCCUAUCGUAGUUGGGAUUGAGGGCUGAAACUCGCCCUCAUGAACAUGAAUCCCAUAACCCGGGUCUCUCGCCAUAACCUUCCCC
rnacentral:rRNA from 1 species